rnacentral:lncRNA from 1 species
UUUCAAGCCCGAGUGCCGGAAAAACCACGGCAAUCUUCGGCAGCCACCACGUGGGGCGGCGAGCACGACAGCGGUACCUGCGGGACCCACAGCCGGCCGGGCCCUGGCGCCGGCCCCGACGGCCGCGGCCACCUCCGCCCCGCCGCUCCGGGGCCUCACCUCCUCCGGGGCCUCGGUUAACCUCCCGGCGCUGCAAGGUGCAUCAGAUUUUUAGUCCUGAGUGGCUGCAAGGGGGCCUGUCCAUUAUGAAUCUGGAAGCCCUCUAUGGUUAAGGAUUAUUUCACAGAUUCCCUGAAAGUAGAAGAAAAGUUGAGAAAGAACACAGCAACUCAAGCUGACCAACUGAAGAAAGCUCAGUGAGCAGAGGAUAUCCUGAUGGACCAAAUGCUCAAUAAGUCCAUGAUUUCUCUGGGUGGGACACAUAUCUGGACUCUUUGUUCUCUGAAACCCUGGCACAUUUGGAAAUCAGCCUGUUAUUAUAAUUACUGAGUGUUUAUUAAAUACAAAGAAUAGGGAGCCGACAAAGGUCCUGUGCACAUAAAACACUGAAAAACAAUGCGUUGGGGACGCCUAGGUGGCUCAGUGGUUGAGCUUCUGCCUUGGCUCAGGUCAUGAUCCUGGAGCCCGGGGAUCAAGUCCCACAUCGGGCUCCCCACAGGGAGCCUGCUUCUCCCUCUGCCUAUGUCUCUGCCUCUCUCUCUCUCUCUCUCUCUCUCUCUCAUGAAUAAGUA